rnacentral:rRNA from 1 species
ACAGAGGUCUCAAGCGUUGUUCGGAAUCACUGGGCGUAAAGGGUGCGUAGGCUGCGCCGUAAGUCAGAUGUGAAAGCUCAGGGCUCAACCCUGAAAUUGCAUCCGAUACUGCGGUGCUUGAGAAAUGAAGGGGAGUCUAGAAUUUUCGGUGUAGCAGUGAAAUGCGUAGAUAUCGAAAGGAAUACCAAAGGCGAAGGCAGGACUCUGGGCAUUUUCUGACGCUGAUGCACGAAGGCCAGGGUAGCGAACGGGAUUAGAUACCCCGGUAGUCCUGGCAGUAAACGGUGCACGUUUGGUGUGGGAGGAUUCGACCCCUUCCGUGCCGGAGCUAACGCGUUAAACGUGCCGCCUGGGAAGUACGGUCGCAAGAUUA